rnacentral:ncRNA from 1 species
CCGCUGGGGGCGCCGAAAGGCUGAGAUGGACGGAUGUCCGGUCCCUUGGAACCUGAAGUGGAUAAUCCCACCGUAGGGAAGCGGA